rnacentral:rRNA from 1 species
AUUGAACGCUAGCGGGAUGCUUUACACAUGCAAGUCGAACGGCAGCGCGGACUUCGGUCUGGCGGCGAGUGGCGAACGGGUGAGUAAUGUAUCGGAACGUGCCCAGUAGCGGGGGAUAACUACGCGAAAGCGUAGCUAAUACCGCAUACGCCCUACGGGGGAAAGCAGGGGAUCGUAAGACCUUGCACUAUUGGAGCAGCCGAUGUCGGAUUAGCUAGUUGGUGAGGUAACGGCUCACCAAGGCGCCGAGCCGUAGCUGGUUUGGGAGGACGAGCAGCCACACUGGGAGUGAGACACGGCCCAGACUCCUACGGGAGGCAGCAGUGGGGAAUUUUGGACAAUGGGGGCAACCCUGAUCCAGCCAUCCCGCGUGUGCGAUGAAGGCCUUCGGGUUGUAAAGCACUUUUGGCAGGAAAGAAACGUCGCGGGCUAAUACCCCGUGGAACUGACGGUACCUGCAGAAUAAGCACCGGCUAACUACGUG